UACGUAGGGUGCGAGCGUUGUCCGGAAUUAUUGGGCGUAAAGAGCUCGUAGGCGGCCUGUCACGUCGGUUGUGAAAGCCCGGGGCUUAACCCCGGGUCUGCAGUCGAUACGGGCAGGCUAGAGUUCGGUAGGGGAGAUCGGAAUUCCUGGUGUAGCGGUGAAAUGCGCAGAUAUCAGGAGGAACACCGAUGGCGAAGGCAGGUCUCUGGGCCGAUACUGACGCUGAGGAGCGAAAGCGUGGGGAGCGAACAGG
rnacentral:rRNA from 1 species